AAUCAACGCUGGCGGCGUGCCUAACACAUGCAAGUCGAACGAGAAAGUGGGGGCAACCCUGCGAGUACAGUGGCAGACGGGUGAGUAACACGUGAACAACCUACCCUUGAGUGGGGAAUAACACCGCGAAAGCGGAGCUAAUACCGCAUAACAUCUUGAGCUCGCAUGGGCGAGAGAUCAAAGCCGAAAGGCGCUUGAGGAGGGGUUCGCGGCUGAUUAGCUAGUUGGUGAGGUAACGGCUCACCAAGGCGACGAUCAGUAGCCGGCCUGAGAGGGCGAACGGCCACACUGGAACUGAGACACGGUCCAGACUCCUACGGGAGGCAGCAGUGGGGAAUUUUGCGCAAUGGGCGAAAGCCUGACGCAGCAACGCCGCGUGGAGGAUGAAGGCCUUCGGGUCGUAAACUCCUGUCGACGGGGAAGAAAGCCGAAAGGUUGACUGUACCCGUUGAGGAAGCCACGGCGUAACUCCGUGCCAGCAGCCGCGGUAAAGUCACGUCG
rnacentral:rRNA from 1 species